AAAAAUAAAAAUAUUAAUGAAUGAAGUGUUACCUGAAAUUAAAUUAAGAGAUCGCAUGAGCAAUUAUAUUUAAAAUGAAAUAAUGUAGCAAUUAAUAUUAUUUAGAUAGCCUACCAUACAUCACAUAUUUUGAUAGAAAUUUUCACUUGUCUCCCUCCAAGGGUAGGGUUAGCCAAAUGUCGAUAGAGGUUUAAAACAAAUUACAAAAUGAGGCAUUUCGACAAAAUUACCAAACAAAAACUACGUCAAUUCAAAACCGCCUACUUCUUUUUGGGUCCACUCAUUGGCGUGAUUUUGGAAGUCGUCCGAAGGGCUUCAAAAGGACACUAACAAGGACUUGUCACAUAUUCUCUAAAUAGAAGAUGUUAUUAGUGGUGUAAGAACAAAGUUAUGUUGUGGAAGUAUAAACAACUUUGGCCUAAGGCUGCUCUUGCCCUUAUACGAUUGACCCUUUAUUCUUUUGAAUGUUAUAUUUGGUUUUGGUAUGCUAUGAGGUAGAAGUACUAAGACACACAUCAGAAACGUCACAAACAUUGAGCUUAACCAUAUGUGUUAGUUACGUUGAGGAAUAUGAAUUGCAUAAGUGAACAAGAAAGAAGUCAUUCACAUCAUCAAAGUGCAUAAGUAUCCACUCAAUAAUGAAAUAAUUUCAAAAGGAAUGUAUCAUAUAUCAAUCAUUGAAGAGAAUGGUUAUUACAUCUUCAAGGUAGCAUCUUCAUGAAGAAGGUGAUCAAAUACAUUCAUACAACAAUCAAUGAUCAUACCAUGAUAUAAAUCAAAGCAAAUCAUGUCUUAACUAUGUUGAAAGAAGCAAGAUCGUUCAGAUAAUCGAAGAACAUUCUGGUUAAUAAAAACAAAAUUCUAGAAAAUCUAAAAACGUUAUGGAGUUCACAACUUUAAUCCAAUAAUAUUCUGGCCUAUUAAAAAGA